UACACACUGCCCCGUCACGCCAUGGGAGUUGGUUCUACCUGAAGGUGGUGAGCUAACGCAAGAGGCAGCCAACCACGGUAAAAUUAGCGACUGGGGUG
rnacentral:rRNA from 1 species